AAACUGAAGAGUUUGAUCCUGGCUCAGAUUGAACGCUGGCGGUAUGCUUAACACAUGCAAGUCGAACGGCAGCAUGGGGAGCUUGCUCCCUGAUGGCGAGUGGCGGACGGGUGAGUAACACGUAGGAAUCUACCUAGUAGCGGGGGAUAACCCGAGGAAACUCGGGCUAAUACCGCAUAAUCUCUUAGGAGCAAAGGGGGCCUCUUCUUGAAAGCUUCCACUAUUAGAUGAGCCUGCGUCGGAUUAGCUUGUUGGUGGGGUAAUGGCCUACCAAGGCGACGAUCCGUAGCUGGUCUGAGAGGAUGAUCAGCCACACUGGGACUGAGACACGGCCCAGACUCCUAC
rnacentral:ncRNA from 1 species